rnacentral:sRNA from 1 species
UUUUAGCCCCGAUAGUAGUGAAAAUCCUUUUGUUUUUUUCUUUAGAAAAACAAAAGAUUGUAACGGAUAGCGGGAAUAGCU